AGAACGAUGCUGUGUGGCUCCCUGGAUUCAGGCCCCUUCCUAGGGAUAUGUACAGACGGGUCUGCCACCUCGCUGGGAAUCCCGGGGCCAGAACAGAACCAUCAAGACUAGCCUUUUCACUGUAUAGAAAUGAAUCUCCACUUGCUGUUGGCAUUAUCACAGUGACCGGAGUGAUAUGGAAGAGAAGUGAUGUUGGUGCAUCUAAGAGAUUCUCUCUACCCUCAGUUGGGAAUCAACCAGCUCUCUUACACAAGAAAACUUGCCACCAGGUGCUCAUCAGUGGUAACAGCCGGCUACACUCUCUUAAAGCAUGUGAAUGCUGAGAUCCUAGCCAGAGAAAAGAAAGAUUCUACCGCAAUACAAAUUUCAAAAGGAGACAUUCCAGCUCCCCUUAAAGACUACAUUUUGGAUUAACAACUUCCAAAUAGUUAUCUUCCCUCCAGGUUCUUUCUGUAGUACCUCCAGAUCAUCAGUCACUCGAUGUAAACCAGGAGCCAACUGCCCCAGUUCACACAGUGGCAUCAGUAGACAACUG
rnacentral:sRNA from 1 species